CAGCAGCCGCGGUAAUACGAAGGGUGCAAGCGUUAAUCGGAAUUACUGGGCGUAAAGCGUGCGUAGGCGGUGAGUUAAGUCUGCUGUGAAAUCCCCGGGCUCAACCUGGGAAUGGCAGUGGAUACUGGCUCGCUAGAGUGUGUCAGAGGAUGGUGGAAUUUCCGGUGUAGCAGUGAAAUGCGUAGAGAUCGGAAGGAACAUCUGUGGCGAAGGCGACUAUCUGGGCCAACACUGACACUGAGGCACGAAAGCGUGGGGAGCAAACAGGAUUAGAUACCCGGGUAGUCCCUGUCUCUUAUAC
rnacentral:rRNA from 1 species